rnacentral:rRNA from 1 species
GGGCCCGCACAAGCGGAGGAACAUGUGGUUUAAUUCGAUGAUACGCGAGGAACCUUACCCGGGCUUGAAAUGUACAUGACGAUAGAGGAAACUUUAUUUCUAGCAAUAGCAUGUAUGUAGGUGCUGCAUGGUUGUCGUCAGCUCGUGCCGUGAGGUGUCGGCUUAAGUGCCAUAACGAGCGCAACCCACAUUGUUAGUUACUAACAGGUUAAGCUGAGGACUCUAACAAGACUGCCGGCGUAAGCCGCGAGGAAGGUGUGGAUGACGUCAAAUCAGCACGGCCCUUACGUCCGGGGCGACACACGUGUUACAAUGGGAGGUACAAAGGGCGGAGCUACCUGGCGACAGGAUGCUAAUCUCCAAAACCUCUCCCAGUUCGGAUUGGAGUCUGCAACUCGACUCCAUGAAGCUGGAUUCGCUAGUAAUCGCGCAUCAGCCAUGGCGCGGUGAAUACG